GAGAAGUACAGUUGAAAAGAGCUUCCUGUGAUUAAAAUGCAAAAAUAACUGAAGGAAUAUUAUGCUGAAAUGCCCCAUGAGAUACAGAAAUUGUGAAACAGCAAGAUUAAAUCCUCUGGGCCUGGUCAAAUCUGUGCUUGCUGUGUUUGAGAAGGAUAUCCUUGAGGUACCCAAGAGGCACUGGUGAUGUCCUGGUGACAGCCCCCGGCAGAGAGAAGGCCAGUCCUGUCUACAGAGCUGAAGCAGAGUGUGGAGCUGACAGAAUUCAUGGGAGAAUGGCUACCAAAGUUUGUCAUGGCUGGGAAAUAAUGCAAGAAGAGAAUAUCAGGCAUUGAUCUGUAUUACAUGCCAGGCACUGAGUGAAGUGUGGGCUUGAUUCUCAUCUUCUCUACCUUUUAGCAGAGGGAUAUUUCACCCCUGAGGGUCUGCCUAAGAAGUCAAUAUGGUGGUCUU
rnacentral:lncRNA from 1 species